rnacentral:rRNA from 1 species
UACGUAGGGCGCAAGCGUUGUCCGGAAUUAUUGGGCGUAAAGAGCUCGUAGGCGGCCUGUUGCGUCCGCUGUGAAAUCCCGGAGCUCAACUCCGGAACUGCCUUUGAAACUGCAGUGCUAGAAUCCUGGAGAGGCGAGUGGAAUUCCGAGUGUAGAGGUGAAAUUCGUAGAUAUUCGGAAGAACACCAGUGGCGAAGGCGGCUAUCUGGACUGUGAUUGACGCUGAGGCGCGAAAGCGUGGGGAGCAAACAGG